ensembl:lncRNA LINC01097 long intergenic non-protein coding RNA 1097
AUUUGAAUGGACCUCAGCCCUAGGACCCUGGCGCCCUCGGAAACCGGAUCUGAGGUCCGGAUCACUAACGUUCAGAGAUGCAAGGGAAGCCGAGAAGUUGCCGAAAGGGCCUGAGAGCUGCUUCUCCUUCUCCCUGGGCAGCAAACCUCCAAGCCUGUGCGGGCCAAUCUUUGCAUCCUGGUAACCAGCGCUUUAUUUAGCGCCUAAUCGCUUUCCUGUCCUGCAACACUCGAAGGGCGCGGACCUUCGCUGAGACGCCACCCACGCAAGUGGAGGAAGCACUUGCGCCACUGCUGAGCGGUUGGAAGGGGAACACUGCAGCAGCGAUGACCCACGAGUGUCAACGAGACCAGGUGCCCAUUAGGGAAACAGAGAUGGAGAAGAAAUCACGCGCCAAGGUCUGAAAUUCGGCGUGGCUCUCACUCGACAUCUCCCCAUUCUCGCCACCCGUGCACCCGCCUGCAGCGGCGCACCGGGCUCGGUGCUGCACCUGCCUCCUGGCGCCUGCGCCACUGCCCCCGCGCGGGUCCCACCGCGCAGGACGCCCCUUCCUGCUUCCGACGUCUGCUGUGGAUCACACGCGGUCGCUGCCAAAGCCUCCAUUUCGGUUCUGACCCAGUGACUUUGGGGACGCCCAGGGAGGAGAUGUGGAGAGGAUGUGGCCAAGGUGAACCAGCCAGUGUAAGUGCUAAUGCUUCUGGCUUCUCGGUAACACCUACCCUGCCCCACCACCCAAAUCGGGCCUUGAUCAAAAAAGAAGCGUCUUGACAAUACAUUUUUAGACAUAAAUAAGUUGAAGGUGCCCACGGAGGGAGGUUGAAAACAUUUGAUUAUCAGGACAGAGUAGAAGCCUGUUUGGCUCAUCCUUUUGGCCAGCUCUAAAGCAGCAGUGGACACUUCUUUGCGAUUUUGCAAGGAUGUUUGUG